UAGUGACCAAUCGAAAGUGCCGGAAGACGGGGUGAAGGCCGGCCGCGCAAGACCCGCAGAAGACGGUGUCAGACGCCCCCCGAGAGUCACGCCGGGUCUGCCCAUGUGU
rnacentral:ncRNA from 19 species